rnacentral:rRNA from 1 species
GCUCAGGAUGAACGCUGGCGGCGUGCCUAACACAUGCAAGUCGAACGGAGUCUUAUGAAGUUCUCGGACGGAUUAAGACUUAGUGGCGGACGGGUGAGUAACGCGUGGGUAACCUGCCUCAUACAGGGGGAUAACAGCUGGAAACGGCUGCUAAAACCGCAUAAGCAUACACUGCCGCAUGGCAGAGUGUGAAAAUACUUGUAGGUAUGAGAUGGGGCCCGCGUCUGAUUAGCUAGUUGGUAGGGUAACGGCCUACCAAGGCGACGAUCAGUAGCCGGCUUGAGAGAGUGACCGGCCACAUUGGGACUGAGACACGGCCCAAACUCCUACGGGAGGCAGCAGUGGGGAAUAUUGCACAAUGGGGGAAACCCUGAUGCAGCGACGCCGCGUGAGUGAAGAAGUAUUUCGGUAUGUAAAGCUCUAUCAGCAGGGAAGAUUAUGACGGUACCUGACUAAGAAGCCCCGGCUAACUACGUG